rnacentral:misc_RNA from 1 species
GAAUAUUAAUAAUGUUUCUUUAUGUUUGUUGGUGAUGAUGCAGCCGUCUGUUUGCAGAGAAGAGAAGAGAAAGAUGAGAAUAAGAUAUCAAAAAUCAUCUUCUUAACAGACCUUUUCUUCUUUGGAAUUACACUUCCUUUCUUCUUCUUGAAGUGUGGCUCUGUUAUGGUCGUCACCGCUUCCAUUCCGUGGUUCACCUCCGCCACUUUCUCUUCCUCCGCCGGCUUUAUCCCUGCUGUGAGCAUUUCCAUCAUGGGUUCCCUUGUACCAGCUUCUCCAGCGUUAUUUUCAUAUACUUUUGCUGAAUUGUCGUAUCGCCCGG